AAGAACGAAAACCCCCUCGCCAUUCGCCAUUUCUCCCUCCCAAAAACCCUUCGCCCCUUCAUUUCCUUGCUUUCUCUGCUGCUGCCUGCUCUACUCUCAAAUUUUCGCGAUCUACGCCGGAUUUUCUGCCGCCGGUCACCUCUCGUUACUCCGGCAGUGUCAAUGGGGAGCUCUAGUAGAUGGCGAAUGGCAGGGAUGGAGGCUCCGUUACGCAAUACUGACUCCAUCGAGUGGCGGCAGGUCUCCGUACCAUCGUCUUCUUCAGGUUCUACACCCAGCACCUUGGAAAAUUCAGUAGCCAAGGAUUUCGCCUCCUGCUGCGCCAUUGGAGAUUCACCUACUUAUGUUAUCUGGAAAACGAGUAAGGCUCAGCCAAAUUUUCUGGAGAUUAUCGAGCUAUCGAGUUCUAAAGAACUGUCGAGGAGUGGGCUGCGGCUCAUCUUUCCUGACUCUAUUUUCCCCUUUGCUUUUAUCUACAGAGAUGAGAGCAACUCUUCUGUUUCGAGAAAUCACUUUGUGCUUUAUACUCUGACAAUCUCGGGGGUAGCAUACUGUAUUACAUUAAAAAAAAUUUUUGAUUAUGGAACUUCUUCACAAGUCUCCGCUGACGACAUUAUUGAGUACAAUACACAAAUUCAACCUGGUUGGGGUACAAUAACAGCAGUUACAGCUGCAGAAGGAUGUAUGUUGAUUGGGAGGAGUGAUGGAUCUAUUGGUUUUUUCCAGCUCGGCACACUUGACCCAAGCAAUUCAGGCUUUGUUUAUGAGUUACGGGAUGAUGCUGGCUUUGGGAGGCUAUGGGGUAUAUUGUCAAGGUCUCCGACGCUAGCUGCUGUACAGGAUUUAGCAUUAUCAGAUGUAUUACAGAGAAAGCUGCUUUUUGUGCUUCAUUCUGAUGGAAGCUUUCGAGUUUGGGACCUCUCAAGCCGUAGUAAAAUUUUCAGUCAUGCAAUGACCAUCCCAACACCAUCAGGUGCAUUCAUAAAUUUGUGGGUGGGUGAGACUGCUAACAAUAUUGACAUAAUUCCGUUUGCAGUGCUACAUAAAGAAAAUCUGGAAGUUAGCACUGCCACACUAUUUCUAUACUGCCUUCGUUGCCAUGUGGGGAAUAGAGUACCAUUGUCACUUGAGACUUCUUCAAGAAAAAUCUCUUUGGGAGAGGGUGAACUUAUUGAUGUCAAAGUUACUUCGGACAAAGUGUGGAUUCUCAAAGAAGAGGGACUCAUAAUGCAGGAUCUCUUUUGUGAUGAUACCACAGAGGGAUUAUCACAUUACUAUGCUUUGCAAGAAAAUUUCAUUGCCGACCUGCUAUUUCAAAGUUCUGAGCAUUCUCCAGAUGAUCUUCUUUGGCUUGCCCAUUCCACAUUUUCAUCUUCAAAGGAGGAAGUCAUCCCAUUUAUAUCUUCAGUUUUUAUGCGCGUCUUGCUUUUUCCUGGGGUAUAUUGUGGAACUGUGCUGAGGCGAACUUUGGAAGAUUAUAACAAAUAUUUCACUGAUUCAGAGUUUGUUUCUUUCACUAUUGGUGGUCUGAAGGCUGAGAUUUUGUCAAUCAUUGAACAUCAGAGUGGAAUUGAAAACCCUGUUGCCAUUCUUCAGUGUUGGAAAAAUAUGUGUUCCCGAUACAUUAAUAAUUGGCUCAAGUACAAUGCAUCAUGCGGUCUUCUGAUGGAUCCAUCUACGGGUGCAGUUGGUGUAGUUCGGAACAACACCAUCUCUCUCUGCCGUGGCUUAGAGGAUGCUGAACAUAUAAUCUACGGUUCUUUUGAAGAGAGAAACAGUUAUUUAAGCCCUGGAUUGGUUUUCUCUGAUGAUAAGUUUAACCAAAAGAUUCUAUUUGAAUUACUACAAUGUGUUAGGAGUGUAAGCCAGCAGCUGGGCAAGGCUUCAUCGGCUGUAUUUUAUGAGUUGCUUGUUAAAACACCUCAAAUGUCACCUGAGGAUGUUGUUGUUCGUGUUCUUAAGGUCCUAGAAACUGGACAUGGGUCUUCAACUUCUGUACGAAUAUCUGAACUUGGUGCUGAUACAGCUUGGGAGAAAGAAUUGUCAAAUCAUAAAAACCUAAGAAAAUUUUCCGCAAAUAUGUUUUUGUCACUUCAUGCACUGUGCCAGAAAGCUAACUCAUGGAGCAAUGUUUUGAAUGUGGUCGAGAGCUACUUAAAUUUUUUAGUGCCUCAAAAAGUUGUACUUAAUGUCGAUGCUGAAACAAUUCUGGGGGUAAAUUAUUCUGCAAUAGUGCAGUCUGUCUCUCAAAUCUCAAAAGUGAUGUUUGAGUCUGUAUUGGACGUUUUAAUGCUGUUAAGCUACAUGACUGGCAUCAGCGGGCAGAUUAACAUGUCACAGGAGGAUGUUUCUAAAGUUAAACUUGAGUUAAUUCCGAUGAUUCAUGAAAUUGUUACAGAAUGGCACAUCAUCCAUUUCUUUGGGACGACUCCUUCAGAAUCACUUGCAAUUGAAGAUUUUAGUUAUCAGCUAUCAUCCUUACAAAUUGACAGCAAUGUGGACAAGCGAUUGUGGAAUGGAAAGCUUGGGAAAUGCGAAUAUCCAUUGGCAUAUGUCCUUUUAUUGAGCAUGCAAAGUUCUUGUGGACAAAUGAGGACCCUUCCCGCCAAUCGAUUUCAACAUCCCAGCACUCUAAUUAGCCUGACUCGAGAGUUUUCCAGCUGGAUAAUUUGGGGAAGCACAGAUGAUUCUUCCGUAUUCUUCAGCAAUGCAAUUGAUCUUGCACUGGUGUUACUUAGACAUGGCCAGUACAAUGCCACAGAGUAUUUGCUUGCUUUGGUGGAUGCAUAUUCGCGCAAGGAGAAAACAUUUGGAAGCCUACAGUCUGUGGAUGACAAAUUGUCUGUACUUCUACAUCUUCUUGGAUGUUGUCUUGUCGCUCAGACACAACAUGGGUUGCACGGUCCAGUUAAGGACAAAAAGGUUGGGGAAGCACUUCGCUGUUUCUUCAGAGCUGCAUCAGUGGAGGGAUCUUCUGAAGUUUUGCGGAGUUUGCCACAUGAAGCAGGAUGGCUGCGAAUUGACUUCAGCACUUCUGCCUCAGUUGCAGAAUGGAAACUCCAAUACUACCAAUGGGUGAUGCAGCUUUUUGAACAAUAUAAUUUGAGUGAUGCUGCUUGCCAAUUUGCUUUAGCUGCGCUUGAGCAAGUAGAUGAAGCUCUUUCCACUAUGAAUAGUAGCUCCAGUGAGGAUUUUCUGGAAACAGUUACUACUGUGAAGGGCCGGCUUUGGGCUAAUGUAUUUAAAUUCACCUUGGAUCUCAAUAAUUACCAUGAUGCAUAUUGUGCAAUCAUUUCAAAUCCAGAUGAGGAAAGCAAGAAUAUAAGCUUGAGGCGUCUUGUCUUUGUGCUCUAUGAACGUGGUGCAGUUAAGAUACUAUGUAAUGGCCAGUUGCCAUUAAUUGGUUUAGCUGACAAGGUAGAGCGAGAGCUUGCCUGGAAGGCAGAGCGGACUGAUAUUUCAACGAAGCCAAACCCUUUCAAGUUGCUUUAUGCAUUUGAGAUGCAUAGACAGAACUGGCGUAAAGCUGCAAGUUACAUAUACUUGUAUUCUCUGAGGUUGAGAGCUGAAUCAACCAUGAAAGACCACCAAACCAGGUCUUCUAUGCUGCAAGAGAGAUUAAAUGGGUUGGCUGCGGCUGUUAAUUCUCUGCAGCUUGUCCAUCCUUCGUACGCUUGGAUUGACUCUCCAGUUGAUGAAACAUUACUUGGCACAGAAAACUAUCCAAAUAAAAGGGCUAGGAUUACAGAGCAAGGACAAUCUACUGAUGAUAUCUCGCCACAAAAGCGACCAUCUUAUUUAGAUGUUGAGAAACUUGAAAAGGAGUUUACUUUAACAUCGGCGGAAUAUGUACUCUCAUUGGCAGGUGUCAAGUGGACUUUUUCUGGAACUGAGAAACCAUCAGCAGAGCUUAUCGAUCAAUUGGUUGAAUCAAAUUCAUAUGAUAUGGCCUUCACGGUGAUACUCAAAUUUUGGAAGGGUUCUGGCCUUAAAAGGGAACUUGAAAGAGUCUUUAUUGCAAUGGCAUUGAAAUGCCGCCCAAGCCGACAAAUCUCAUCAAUGUAUGGGAAAAAUCGUAAAAUGUAUGGGUUAUUGUUGACUUCAUCAGAAGAUGAGGCAGUUCAUGAUUCGCUUGAUGCAGCUACAACUGCGCAACAGUUUGAGGGCAGUGGCCACUGGGAGACACUUGAAUUCUACCUUGAUAAAUACAGGCUAUUUCAUCCCAGGUUGCCUUUAAUAGUUGCUGGAACUCUUCUCUCAGCAGAUUCACAAAUUGAGCUGCCGCUUUGGUUGGUUCGACACUUCAAGGGUGAUCGGAGUGGGAGUGGUUUUGGAAUGAGUGGUGGCGAAUCCGAUCCAGCUUCCCUUUUCCGCCUGUAUGUUGAUUAUGGUCGACAUGCAGAGGCUACUAAUUUGCUGGUUGAGUACAUGGAAAGUUUGGGAGCACUUCGACCGGCUGAUGUUAUAAGACGUAAAAAGACAUUUGCUGUGUGGUUUCCAUACACAUCAAUCGAACGCCUGUGGUGCAUGCUUGAGGAAUCAAUCAAAGUGGGCCACAGGAUUGAUCAGAGUGAAAAGCUGAAAAAGUUAUUGCAUGGGGUUUUGUUAAACCACCUCAAUCUGCUGAAAGUGGACUCUGAUGAUAUUCGAUCCUCAGCAAGUUAGAGCUACAUAUCCGGUGUAAGCUCGUAGACCUAUGAGUGUUUCCAUUCCAGAAAGUAAAAAAUCGAUCCGAAUCCACUUGUCUGCUCGUUUGCCUUAUUUAAAUCUGAUUGAAGGCAAUAUGAAGAUGACCCUGAUGGGCAAGUAAGCAGUAUUCGUAUUUCAUGUUUGUAUUGGUUGCUUUGCUGUGUUACAUUUUUGUUGUGUAUGCAAUGCAAUGCAAUGGUGCAGGCAGAGCUGAGAAAUAGUCUUUUUAUUUUACAAGUGAAGUGAGUGGGGGGGGUGUAAUAUGAUGAUAUGCUAAUUCUAUUGGCUAUGAGCAUGAUAUGACUAAUUACCAACUGGUAUUGGUAAUAAUUGACCUUUGGGGCUGAUACAAUUUACUAUUAUUCAUUCUUAUUAUUAUUGGGCGAUGUGCUUUGUGCUUUUGA